rnacentral:tRNA from 1 species
UCAAAAAGAGUUUUAUAAGAAUACUAACUUUGGGAGUUAGAGGAUAGUUAAAAGUGACUAUUUUUGAA